rnacentral:tRNA from 1 species
AAUCUUGAAUUUUAUUCAGUUUUAGGAAUUGAUUUUGUUGAAAGACCGAGAUUU